ensembl:snoRNA
CUGCCAGUAUGAUAAAAUCUGCUUAACUUGUACAUGUUUUGCAGAUUUUUUUUUAAUUGCUGGCAAUAAUAAAGCCAGGGUACGAGCCUUGAAGACUUAGUCGUCAUUGAGGUCCCAGUAAAUGGCUACAUUG